rnacentral:lncRNA from 1 species
CUGUAUAUGUUCUGUUAUUUGUAGGUUCAAAAAAAACUUCUUUGCCAUUGUUUAUCAAGCAUCAGUCUAGACUUGAAGCAAAGUUGUUGUGACUUAAUAACAAAUCUCUAAUAUAUUCUUUAGUGCAAGACUUUUUCUGAUUGGCUUCAUAUAUUGAAGGCUUUAUAACAGCAGGAAUUCCACAACAAACCAAAGUACAACACACACACAGUCAAAUAAGACAAUAUUACGCUCCUUGUUUUGUUUUUUUGUUGUUUUUUUUAAGGUGUUUUCAAAAUUCACCUCAAGAACAGAAAGCAUGUAACAAUCAGUCUUAUAAACUUCAACUUUACCGAGAGUCACGAACAGAGUACUUCUGCUUCCAUAUGUCGAAGAUCAAGAUUUUGGAUGUUUAACUACACUGAAGCCUCAACGAUGAUGCUUUGAAGACCAUAUCAAGGGGAUUUAGGGUAAAGAAAUAAUUUGUCUCUUGCCAGGAUGGUCAGAAAAAACUACAGCUUUCGGCACAUCUUGCUCUUUCUCUAAUAAGAAUAAAAAUAGUUACACUUUAACUGAUAUUCUUGUAACGAGUUAUGUCAUAUUUUGUAGCUGCUGCUGUAAAAAAAUGCAUUAAAAUUCAGCGGUGUUAUGUUUUUGUUACACUAUAUAUGACUCUUACCUUGUACAGUUUAAGACGUUAUCAGUAGGCGAGUUAACUUUAGUACCAGCUGGUAUAGUAUUGUGUAGCUAUUCAAAUGUCAGUGUUCUUCUCAGUAGCAAUAUAUCCAGGUAUAGUACAACACAACUGUGGUUCAGUUAACCAGUUGGGAAGACAGUUUUUUAAUUCUGGUUUGUCACCACCACCUUCCUAGUCAUGAAGAUGAUUUUAACUCUGGUUUCACAUCACCUGCUUAUUAAUUCAGCCAAGUCAAGAAAAUAACCCUAACUUACCACCGGCUAGCUAUAAUAUCUGCUGCCUGGCUGUGGAUCUGCUUAAAACAUCCAUACUAUUAAGUACUUUCAGCAUUAAAGUAUUUAAUAGUACUAUUCAUAGAGCUAAAGAGAAAGAGAUGUUCCUUACAAACUUGGCAAAACAUGGUUUUGUUAAGUUGUCAUUUCGCUAUGUUAUUUUUAGGAAAAUCACCUAAUAAUUCAGCCCUUUGGAGUGAAAUGUUAAGGUUUUAAUCCAUACUGUUAGUUAUUUUAAAGCAGACAUCUAUUUUAAAAUGAAUAGUGAUAUAAAAAAAUACCCUGUUUCUUGGAACUUUACAAAAUGUCACUUCUUUAGCUGAAAAGUGAUGACAAGAUUAUUCAUGACAUCACCUGCUCAUUCUGUAGCCCGUUCCUCUAUACGUGUUUAACGGAGCAUGAUAAUACGGACAUUUUUAAAAUUUCCGUAUAAACCGUUUUUUCAUUCUCACAACUGAUGGACUUAUAAGCCUCGUCAGGAGGAGUUGCUCAAGCUGUUUUCCAGAAAGUGAAAUUUGUAGCGUACCAGAAUACUGAACCAAACGUGUGCUAACAUCAAUAGCAUGCUGCAUUAACAAAUUUUAUCACUACCCUACAUAUAUUAUGUAUAGCAGUGGUUUCUUUGCGAGUAUUCUAGCAAAUAACGUUUGGGACCUGAUAAGAAAAAAACAAACAAAUUAUAUUGUCAAUCUUUUCUGGUGUUCCGAGCUGGUUAGUAAGCCACACGAUCUGUUGGUGAAGGUUAUGAAGGAUAUUUUUAGUUGUCUCUGUGAAACAUGCUACAGAAAAACUGUAGUUUGCCUUUAUUUUGAUCGUAUCUGCUGUUUUUGGUGUGUUAUUGAUUACCUACAUGCUUGGUAUUACAAAUUGUGUAGUUGAUAUGUAGUUCAGAAAUUUUUACUGGAUUUAUGUUAACUUUAGGCAUUCACAAAACACUUCUUUCUGCCACCUAUGUGUAACGUAGGAUCAUGCUUGACUAAUGUACCAGACACUGCUUUCUGCCACCUAUGUGUAGCGUAGGAUCAUGCUUGACUAAUGUACUAGACACUGCUUUCUGCCACCUAUGUGUAGCGUAGGAUCAUGCUUGACUAAUGUACUAAACACUGCUUUCUGCCACCUAUGUGUAGCGUAUGAUCAUGCUUGACUAAUGUACUAAACACUGCUUUCUGCCACCUAUGUGUAGCGUAGGAUCAUGCUUGACUAAUGUACUGAACACUGCUUUCUGCCACCUAUGUGUAGCGUAGGAUCAUGCUUGACUAAUGUACUAAACACUGCUUUCAUCUUCCCGUGUUUAGUGUAGAAUCAUUUUUGAGAAACAUCCUAAACACUAUUUGUCAUAUAAACUUGCAGUGUACAAUAACAUUUAAAAGACUGUAAACACUACCCCCUCCUCCCAUAGUGUAGUGUACAAUGAUCGUUAUUGUUAUCUUUUUUUUUUUUUUUGCAUGUAAUAAUUUGCAUUUCUUCAGACAUUUUAUGUAUAUUAACAUUGUUUGGGAAAAGCGAUAACUUCAGAAUUUGGUUGUGUCUUGCCAUUCGUUUAUUAAAAAAAGCGUUAACACACACAGUAACAUCCAGCCCACAGUUGAAUUAAAGGGUGUACUGUUCAAAAACUUGGCAUUGAACGGAGUUUUUAAAUUAGUACAUUUCAAAAAAUAAACAGAUGAAAUUGGUUUUGCAAGUGAUAUAUUUUUAUAAUGGCAUCAAACGUAAUGUCAUCUGUGUGCACAUAAUACUGGAGCAAUCAUAUAUACAUUUCUCUUCAAAAUGUUUAUCAUACGCAAGUUUAGAUAAUGAAUUUAUCUAAGUGUCCAGUGUAGUUGAAGAAUGACAUCCUUGUAAUAAGUAAGCUGGGACAUGCCUUUAAGACAUGGCUUUUUGAAAAGGAUUUCACCGAUUCUUUUAGUGUGAAAUUACGUCGUGGAUAAUUGAUAUAUUUCUUUUUUUUUUAGAAGAUAUAAUCAAACUUGUUCAGUGGCCUACUUGUGGUCUAUCAUCUAGAUAUAAUGUUAUAAAAAUGUGUUCAGCAUCAUGAAUACUUGGUGAAGGUACCUAGAUGAAUUAAAAACACGAUUUUCUGUAAAAUGCUUGUCUUCCAUAGAUGUAGUGUAAAGCUAAAACAAGCUGAUGGUUCUUUUAUAGGUUUUCAGUAACUUGUUAACGUUCAUUAGAUGUGCUUUGCAGUUUUUUUCGUACUUCUAUAAACAUAUUUUAUGAUCAACUUUUGUUUCAUAGUUCGUUUUUUACAAAAUACGAGAUACAAACGUUUCUACAGUAGAUGAUACAAUGACAAAUUCAAUCGUGAUUUAUUAUUAACUUUUGUUAGAGUAAACUACCUAAUCUAUGUAUUUGUUUACAGAAAAGUCGUAUAUAUAUAUACAACAAGUCUGACUAGUUUAUUUCACAUUUAAACAGAUAUCCUACUAAUGUAUUUUGUGCUUUUUAAUAUUAUAUAUUACUAGACUUCAUUUUGUUUUUGUUGUCCACUAUAAAUGCUUUAGCCACGAGUGAAAAAAAAACCCAAUCCAGUAUGGCUUAACGGGUCAUCUUCAGUUCUAGUGGCAACAUUGGAUAACUAACAAACUUUAUCUGCUAAUGUUCAGCUAAUGAUUGCUUAACAUUAACUGUGUGAUGUCAGUGGUGAACACAAUGUUAAAAUAUUUUUUGUUACACACUGAAUGAUUAAUUGUUAAACGAGAUUAUUGUUUUUCACUAAUGGCUAGAUAAGAUAUGAAUGACAUAAAAUUAUUUCUAAAAUGUAUGAAGUUAUGCUCAUCAUAGACAUACUUAAAUGAUUUUGUGUUCAUAAAAUUGUUUUUAAAAGUUUCUGUUUGAAGGUAGUUCUAAUGAAAGCAUUGAAUAAGUAGCAGUACUACCACCAGUUUCAUCUUUUAUCGUGAGCAAACUGUACAAUCAGACGGUCUUGCAUAACAUUAGUUGCACUGAGCCCAGUAAAUUAUACAAACAGUCUGGUAUAACACUAGUUACACUGAGCCCAGUAAAUUAUACAAACAGUCUGGUAUAACACUAGUUACACUGAGCCCAGUAAAUUAUACAAACAUCUGGUAUAACACUAGUUACACUGAGCCAAGUAAAUUAUACAAACAGUCUGGCAUAACACUAGUUACACUGAACCAAGUAAAUAAUACAAACAGUCUGGCAUAACAGUAGUUACACUGAACCCGGUAAAUUAUACAAACAGUCUGACAUAACACUAGUUACACUGAGCCCGGUAAAUUAUACAAACAGUCUGACAUAACACUAAGGACACUGAGCCCAGUAAAUUAUACAAACAAUCUGGCAUAACACUAAGGACACUGAGCCCAGUAAAUUAUACAAAGAGUCUGGCAAAAUAAUAGUUACAUAGUGAACGUUUGGUGAUUUUGUAAUGCCUCAGAUGUGUUGUUUCAGUUUUGUGUCCUCCAAGUCAAAAGUUGAAGCCAUGGAUCAAUUUAUGCUGACCAGUAGGUAAGAAGUGCAAUAAUUUGUCGUUCUGAUCGUAGGUCAAGUUUUAAAGGUCCUUUGACUUAUUCAUCUGUGUCGUUAUACAAAAAUUGUAAGUUUUUAUAAUCAGUAUUUGUUGCUUUUAUUACAAACCAAAUCAAAGUUUAUCGAACUAUUUUCUGUGGUAUUUCCCCCCACUCGUUCAACUCCAGAUCAACUUUUCUUGAGUCAAUUCUUUUCUUUCUCUUUGGCUAACUCAUUAGUCUCCAUUUCCUUUAAUUCUGUCAUUUUCAUGGGAUUUUUUAUUUGAUUGGCUAGGUAACCUUAGAGCUUUCUGAAGUUAGGAGUACUUGUACAAUGUUAGAAGUACUGGAUACUAUGAACAACCAAAAGGUUACAGUACAUUCACUUAUAGAGCCAACUUGGUGGAAUUGUGACCAUUCCUAGUCUUACCAUCCCUCCUUACUUAUUUCUAUACUUCUUUUUAUGUACUGUACUUCUUUUUCUAAUUUUCUUGAUGCAACACUGAGAUAGGUAAGAUGAGAGGGAAAUUGAAAUUAGUUCACGAUCACAGUGAACGUAAGGAUAGGGAUUGUUUAUGGAGCACAGCCAAGGGUUGAUAUAUACCCAAAGAACAUGCUACACUUCUGUUAGCCAGUAUUUGGUGCGUAUGGCACCUUGAGAAGUUGCCAUCUUUUUUUAACCCAUCUAGGUCCAAAGAAGUCUAAUGGGUUAUCUAUCUUAUAAUAGGAUUGUUGAGGUAAAAGUAUACAGAGAAACUACAUAGUUUUUAGGAAGUAUAGGAUUUUCAGGCUGAGUGUGAAAUAAAUAUAGCAAUGUUUCAACUGUUGUUGCUGGAAAUGCACAUUUUGAAAUUAUCACAAUAAUAAAUGCAAUAAAUAGGUAAAUCAGUGCUAACACCCACUUUCCAUUAGACAGAACGUUAAAUUACAUCGGCAGAAGCACAGAUAUUUGAUAAUGUUGGAACACCGAGUGUAGAGAAUCCAUGAGAUGGGAUAGCAUUGGUUCAUCAUGUUGAUGACAAAACAAGGUCAUGUAAUGGUAAUAGUAUAAGGCUUUGCGAUAUGCAUGGUACCAUGAUCGAGCACAAGAAGGACACGAGUAACAGUUGAGAGGAAACAAAAUGUAAAUUCAUGGGGAAAACAAGUGCAUGUAGGUGGAGUUGGGACAACAAUUUAUACAUAUCCAGUUUGGUAGCUUUAUUUAAAUUGGAUCAUGUAUAUCAAAUGUGAAAUAUUUUGUAUAUAUAUAUAUAUAUAUACGCAUAGACUAUAAAAUAUAAAUGCUUGGAAAACAAAUUUUUUAGUUGCGAGAGAAAAUGUAUUCCAACUUCUGACCAAAAAUUAGGAGCCAGUUAUUAAAUUACUUUGGUGAGGUUGUUUAUGGGAAAAAAAACUAACUUAAAAACGAGAACAGAUCUUUUAGUAAAAUCAGAAAUAGUGACUAAAUGGUUUUCUUCAGUUCUAUAUUGUAUAAUCAUUUGAAUUGCUCUGUAUGAUGAAAAAUACCUCACUUUCAGAUGUCUCAACUUUUUAAGCCUGAAAAUUGAGCUGGUGAUUGUCUUGAAAUUAAUAUUGACUUUCGAUUAAAGCAAGCUAAAUAACAUAGUAGGUAAAUAAAAUGAUAGAAGUAGCCAAGUAGUAUUAGUUAGCUAGAAAAUUAAAUAGCCCAGGACUUAAUGUAAUAGAGGAAAAAGAAAAGUUAAAACAGCCAUAUAAAUUACAUGGAAAAUAUUUUACCAAAAAUAGAAAAAGGUUAAUUUAUGAAUAAGUUAUAAGACUUGUUAGCUUUACUCUUGGCAUGAGACGAAGUGUUGACCGAUGAAUUUUAGUUGUGACAAGUGGCGUUACAAAUCAAUUAUAAAUAUGAGAAUGUAUUUUUGUGAUCAAAGAAAGCUGUAUUGAUCAGAAGUUUUUGUAAUGUUAUUAAAUUAUUAUCAUAAAUCUUAAAAUACACGUGUUUCUGUGUUUUUAUAAAACUUGUCUACCAAUAUCUUUUUCAACUUAUCUGUGAUAAUCUUUUUUUGAUUUUUUGUAACAGGUUAUAUAUAUAAUAUAUAUAUAUUAAAAAAAAUUCUUGUCUUACAAAAGAAAAACUUAUAUGUAAUUCAUAUUUCUGUUUGUUUUUUCUUUCUUUCUUAGCUUUAUUUGUAUUCAGCUUGUUAAGUUAAAUAUAUUUUUUUUUGUGUUUGAGCAUAGUUCUUCCAAUACUCUACAGAACCCCCAGGUCUCGGCUAUAUCAUUUAACUAACUGGUUAAUACACAUUUCAUUAUUUGCCUCUUUCUUGCCAAGAAUAAACUUUGUAUAAAUAAAAGAAAUUAUGCUUAAAGCUAAAUACUUUAGACUGGCUUUUCCUGUAUAAAAACAAUAUUACAGUUGUUGAGUAAUUGUAAGCCAUUAAUGUAACUUUGUAAUGUAUACACAGAACAUAUCUUAGCAUACCUUGAUGCCUUAGUUGACGUCUGUGAUAACUUUAGCCACCUAGUGUCAUCAAAUAACUACCCUAAUUCUUGUGUAUCAAUUGACCUGUAGUCAUGAUAAAAUCAAUGAUCCAGAAUAUGGCAGUAAUAUUUUUCUGACUGUAAAUCAGAUCCUUCUAUCAACCAUGUCUUAUUUGUGUAUUAAUCCACCUUGCGAGACACUAAAAUUAUUGGUAGCAAAUAUUACUUUUAUAAAACAUCUGGUAAUAUUUAAAUAUCUAGGAAUCAUCGUGCAUUUACACAAUAAAACUAAUCUUUUAGUUCUCAGUCACAUCCACCUGAAAUGAGUUUUAUUUCAUUCUUCUCCAAGUGAUGAGGAUAUUUCUUGUAGUACAAGUACUGUUUUGAAAGUCGCUUAAGGGUUACAUUGUCCCACAAAUGUGUAUUAGUUUUCAGGUGACUCCGGCAAAUAGGAAAUACAAAAAAAAAAA